UACGUAGGGUGCAGGCGUUAAUCGGAAUUACUGGGCGUAAAGCGUGCGCAGGCGGUCUGCUAAGAGAGAUGUGAAAUCCCCGGGCUUAACCUGGGAACUGCGUUUCUAACUGGCAGGCUUGAGUGUGGCAGAGGGGGGUGGAAUUCCACGUGUAGCAGUGAAAUGCGUAGAUAUGUGGAGGAAUACCGAUGGCGAAGGCAGCCCCCUGGGAUAACACUGACGCUCAUGCACGAAAGCGUGGGGAGCAAACAGG
rnacentral:rRNA from 1 species